CAGUAGCCGCGGUAAUACGUAGGGUGCAAGCGUUAAUCGGAAUUACUGGGCGUAAAGCGUGCGCAGGCGGUUAUAUAAGACAGAUGUGAAAUCCCCGGGCUCAACCUGGGAACUGCAUUUGUGACUGUAUAGCUAGAGUACGGCAGAGGGGGAUGGAAUUCCGCGUGUAGCAGUGAAAUGCGUAGAUAUGCGGAGGAACAACGAUGGCGAAGGCAAUCCCCUGGGCCUGUACUGACGCUCAUGCACGAAAGCGUGGGGAGCAAACAGGAUUAGAUACCCCAGUAGUCCCUGUCUCUUAUAC
rnacentral:rRNA from 1 species